rnacentral:rRNA from 1 species
GACGAACGCUGGCGGCGUGCUUAGCACAUGCAAGUCGAACGGAAAGGCCCUGCUUGCAGGGUGCUCGAGUGGCGAACGGGUGAGUAACACGUGGGUGAUCUGCCCCUUACUUUGGGAUAAGCCUGGGAAACUGGGUCUAAUACUGGAUAGGACCAUGCUGUAGGGGGUGUGGUGGAAAGAUUAGUUUCGGUAAGGGAUGAGCUCGCGGCCUAUCAGCUUGUUGGGGGGGUAAUGGCCUACCAAGGCGUCGACGGGUAGCCGGCCUGAGAGGGGGGACGGCCACAUUGGGACUGAGAUACGGCCCAGACUCCUACGGGAGGCAGCAGUGGGGAAUAUUGCACAAUGGGCGCAAGCCUGAUGCAGCGACGCCGCGUGGGGGAUGACGGCCUUCGGGUUGUAAACUCCUUUCAGCCAUGACGAAGCCCUUGUGGUGACGGUAGUGGUAGAAGAAGCACCGGCUAACUACGUG